rnacentral:sRNA from 1 species
GAAUGAGGAGAAGGAAGAGCUGAAGAAGCAAGUGGAGAAGCUGCAGGCCCAGGUCACCCUGUCGAAUGCCCAGCUGAAAGCAUUCAAAGAUGACGAGAAGGCAAGAGAAGCCCUCAGACAGCAGAAGAGGAAAGCAAAGGUGAGGAGGCUUGAGGGAGGUGGCAGCACUGACAUCCUCUUACCUUCCUCAUGGAGCUAGCCUGAUGGAUGCACAGUGUGUGCUUGGGCAUGGGGACAUCCUCUGCUAACUAACUGAUGAGUAAUACAGGAAAAGCCUUAGAGCAGUAUUGGUACAGAGGCAGUGCCCACAAUGCAUUAGCUGUCAUCACUGUUGACAUUCUGUGUCCAGGUAGCAACCUUCUGUGCCCAUGUGACUAGCCUUCUUUGGCCGUGUAUGAGCCUUCUGUGCCCAUGUAUCCAACUUUCUGUGCCCAUGUAGUGCCCAGCCUUCCGUGCCCAUGUACCAGCCUUCCGUGCCCAUGUGCCAGCCUUCCGU